rnacentral:rRNA from 1 species
AUUAGAUUAAAAACCAAUGCCCUUCGGGGCUCUCUGGUGAUUCAUAAUAACUUCUCGAAUCGCACGGCCUUGCGCCGGCGAUGGUUCAUUCAAAUUUCUGCCCUAUCAACUUUCGACGGCUGGGUCUUGGCCAGCCAUGGUGACAACGGGUAACGGAGGGUUAGGGCUCGACCCCGGAGAAGGAGCCUGAGAAACGGCUACUACAUCCAAGGAAGGCAGCAGGCGCGCAAAUUACCCAAUCCCGACUCGGGGAGGUAGUGACAAUAAAUACUGAUACAGGGCUCUUUUGGGUCUUGUAAUUGGAAUGAGUACAAUUUAAAUCCCUUAACGAGGAACAAUUGGAGGGCAAGUCUGGUGCCAGCAGCCGCGGUAAUUCCAGCUCCAACAGCGUAUAUUAAAGUUGUUGAGGUUAAAAAGCUCGUAAUUGAACCUUGGGCCCAGCCGGCCGGUCCGCCUCACCGCGUGCACUGGCUCGGCCGGGCCUUUCCUUCUGGAGAACCUCAUGCCCUUCACUGGG